GGUUGCUGUAUCUCUUGUGCAGAGAGAGAUGACCUGUAUUUUGGAUCUGUUCUGCCCUUUUGGGUGGAAUCAGUCUGAGAUUCAUGGCCUGGUUCUCUCUGUAAUGGCACAAGAUGAGCUAAAACCAGCUUGAGAACUGAGCGGGGACUCACCGAAGGCCAGGCUAAUUAAGCUGUUGUCCAUUCUCAGUACAGUCUUGUAACUUGUUUUUUGCAUGGCAGCCC